UUUGCUGGUGCCUAGAGCCACCCCGGCUCCGAUGCAUUGUUUCCCUCCAAAACUAAGUCAAGUGGCUUCAGGUUAAAUUAGAAGGGAAAAAAUCCCCCCAAUUUAGGGGAUUUUAUAUUGCUAUUCAACAGAGAGAAAAAGGGACCAACUGUAAGAACAUUUUAUAUAGCAUUAAAGAAUUUGUGAGAAAAGUGAAUUUUAACAGGGUUUAAUAUCAACAUUCAAGGAUUAGAGAGGAAAAGGAUCAAAUCUGAGGUGAUUUUAUGUUGAUAUUUAUUUACUAGUGAGAAAAAGGGCAAAAUCUGAGGGCAUUUUAGAUGAGUUUUUCAAAAUUAGAUUGAAAAGAGGCCAAACGGAAAGGAUUUCAGAGCAGUAACUGAGAAUUAGAGGAGAAGAAGGGGUUUAAUCUGAUGUGACAGUUGAUCAUAGAUAGUUUAACUCAUCAUUUCCACAUCCAUUAUGUGGGGAAAUGCUUCAGGCCAGCUGUUUUCUGCCAAAAGCAGAAGUAGAUGGACUUAGUAAUGGAAAAGGGAAAAAGUUGCUACGCUAUCUAUUUUUUGAAUUACAGAGAAAAGAGGAAAAAGGUAUACAAACUGGAACCUGUCCCCACUGCAGUUGCUGACAUCCGGCUCUGAUAAUGCACCAGGCAAGGGAGUUGUCCUCAUGGAACACAUGGCUGCCCAUCACCAGCACAAUUGCGUAAAGAGCAUUGAGGGCUACAGAUGAAAACCACUGUAUACGAGCUAGUUUUCUUUCACUCAAGUGUGCUCUGACAUGGAUGAAAUGGGGGACAACUUCAGGACGCCCAGGCACAAUGAAGAGCAGGCGGGAGACAACGGUUCCAACCAGGUGCUGACAGAGCAGCCUCGAGCUCAGCAUCCGGCCAGGGCCAGGAACCGGUCUCGAUACGCCAUCAGAUUCAUGGCAGUUAUCAGCAUCAUCACUGCCCUGGUUGUAGCUUUGGCAGUGGUAGCCUCCAAACGUCGUUCCUCGCCGCUGGACCUCCCUGCUGCCGCGUGCCCAGAUGACUGGGUUGGCUACCGAGGGAAAUGCUACCUCUUCUCAAAGGCAGAUGGGACCUGGAACGAAGGCCAGAGCAACUGCUCUUCACUCAACGCUUCCCUGGCUGUCAUUGACACCCAGAAAGACCUGGAUUUCCUGCAGCAACAUAAAGGCUCCCCUGUACGCUGGAUCGGCCUCUGCAGGAGGGACCUGGCCCAGCCCUGGAGAUGGGUGGAUGGUACAGAAUUCAACAACAGCCUGUUCAAAGUGGAAGGAGACGGACUAUAUGUAUAUCUCAACGACCGCCCCAGCAUCUCAUUGGGCCAGAACGCCAUGAAAUGGAUUUGUAGCCAGCCGGAUGAACUGGCAAAGAGGAAACAAAAUGGGGCCCUGCAAGCUUUACUGGAGUGAAGCAAAUCCCCUCUCUUCAGCUGCCACUGCUGCUUCCUAUAUAACAGAUAUUGAAUAGCUGCUUUAAAUGCCAUACUCUGGAGCUAGGAGAGCAACUCCAGAAGCAGGGCUCUACCCCAGGAGUGAGUGGGCGAGCUUCUGUGGCCUGCAAUGAGCAGGAGGUCAGGCUGGAUGGUCAUAAUGGGCCCUUCUGGCCUAAAAGUCUAUGAGUUUAAUUAAACCAUUGCUCAGAGCCCACUGACAAGUUCAGGGCCCACUGGGAGCUGCACGUACACCAUGAAGAGACAGUCCCUGCCUCAAACUGCUUCCAAGCUGGCUAAGGCCGGUGCCACACAGAUUUCAUACAGGUCUAAUUAGGCUACUGGGGCCUUAUCUCAAGCUGUAGCAGCUCUUGCUUUUAGCUCUGGAGGUCCCUGGUUCAGUCCCCGGGCUGUCAGCCACCACAGCAAAACCUCCCAGGACAUGAACUGAGUUAGGGUGUCUCAACAUCCGUCUUCCCCCAUUCUGAUAACCACUCCCCAUUGUUCAGGCCCCACAAGUCUCCGGGGAGAUCCUGGGAGCUUUGCCAAAAUCAUUCCACCUCUGCUCUCUUCUUGUGGCCAAUUCCUCUCUCGCUCACUGCCAGUUCAACAACAUGCACGCCCAGAUCCACAAAGGUAUUUCAGCUCCUAACUCCCAUUGAAUUCAAUGAAAGUUUGAGCUCCUUGUGUUGAUCAUUAUAAAGCUUCUGUAGCCAAUGGUAUUAGUUUAUUGCUCAUUUCUUCUAUGGUUAUAAUCAACUAGCAGGUUACGUCGUAUAUAAUCCUUGUAUGCUCGAGUUAAGUGGUAGGAUAAUACAAGUAUAAGAAUGAUUUAGUAGCUGGAAGGGUUAAUUAUGUAUUCGACAUCUAAAUAACAAGGGCUGAAACACACAGCUGCAGGCUGAGGCCUGCAAGAUUUUAGCUUAGCUGUUAGAGCUAAGAAAUGCUGACAUAAGCAAGUGACUGAAGAAUAACCCGAUGCCCUAAGAUUAUGGAAAAGUGGUACCAAGUGGUGACAUUGUGAAAAUCUAGCUGGAAGAUUAAUUUUAAAUCAUAAAAAUGCUGUAAAGGUGCAUCUGUUUCCAACACGUAUCUUAACCACAGGACACAGGUUGUGCAUCAGUGCUAAUGAGAAUAAAGAGAACCUACACGACCUAUAGAAAUCGG